GAGGAGGGGGACAAACACACGUCCCCAAACCGGCUCGAUGGGAAGGUUAACAGCAGCCCCAAGAUUUGAGUCUCAACCUGGCAAUGACAAGAUAAUAGGGUUCGGUUUGUUCGUCAAUCCACCAGCAGCAGCACCAUAUAUGGCUAGACUGUGGGAUAUUUUUCCAAUGUUUUAUCACCCUCGAGGCAAAAAUGUACUUGUUUCAGACUCACCUGGUGGGGAUUUUGACACGUAGGAAGCGGUCGAUGGCGAUGGCCAGCAGGGAUAAUAUGGAGCUUUGGGUGAUGAUGACGAGGAGGCAGGAAAUGAAGAGGCAGUUGUAAAACAGU